CUAAGGUUUUUUGUUCUUGCUUUUUUAUUAUUCGUUUUUUUUAUUAUUGUUAAUAAUGAAUAUCAGAUCUUUUGAUGAUGUUUGGUUUUUGAUUUGCAGAUGUUGGUUGUGAGUCUCUUUGCUUUAGUGGCGAUAAAUCAGCGUUCAAUGAUGUCUUGUAAAGAUGAGGUGAUGAGUUUGAUAUUUUGUUUCUUAGAAUCUGUGUUUUGAGCAUUUUUAGUUUUCCAUGGGAAAAAAGAAUUUGGGGCGAAUAAUAUGUGUACCUGAAACCAGAUCAACUUUCUGUUUAUUCUUACACUGUCAAUCAAAAUUCUUGUUUUUUCUAAUUCUUGGGUUCAUCAUUUACUGCCUUCAGCAGUAGCAUGACUUACUUUAUUUUUCUUUUCCCAAUUCUUAAUUUUUUUUGUUUGUUUCCUGCAUUUGCUGCCUCCAACAGUAGCAUGACUUAUUCUAUUUUUCUUUUCCCAAUUCAUAAAAAAAUUUGUUUCCUCAUUAAUGCAUGAUGCAGUUUCUUUUCAACCAGAUUAUGGUAAGAAAUUUACGAAUAUCAAUCGAUAUUAUUUCCAAGAUUUAGUUUUUGCCUUCUUCAGAAGAUAAUAUAUGGCUACCAUAAAUUGAUAUUAUUUCCCAUAAAUCGUCUUCUAUUUAUGGAAUUUUUGGGCUUGGUCGAAUUCUAUAUAAAGCACUCGCACAAAGGUAAACUCUUAUCAUUUAUCCUAUUGUUUUUUUAUUCUCCUAUGAUUUUAUUGUUUUUUGGUUUUUUGGUUUGGAAAUUGAUUUUUUUUUGCAGAUGAUGGUGAUAUAUCCUCGCAGCGAAGGAUGAAGCGAUGAACUUUUAUCUUUCAUAGUUCACAGUUUUUCCUUAAACAUCUUCUAUUACGCAACCGUAGUUUUUUUUAUUCCUUUAUUCCUUUUAUUGUUUAGUAUUUUUGUUCCUUUUAAUUUAUAUUUGGUUUUGUUUUGCAGUUGAUCGUAAUCGUUUCUCAUAGUCAAUAUUGAAACAAUAAAAUUAAAUCUGGACGUUUACUUUCGUACGAGUGUAUAGGUGAGGUACGUUCGAAAGUGUUUCAUGGGAAACUCGAAAGUGUUUAUGGGAAUCCUGAUCAAUUUCCGCAAGAGGUAUGCUCAAGCUUUUCAUGGGAAGCUCGAAAGUACUUAUGGGAAUCCUGAUAAAUUUCCGCAAGGAUUUGGAAUAUCUGUGAUUUCUUGGUUUAGGAGCAGGAGAUUGUCAAGAAGGUUUUUAAGAUCAAGAAACAGAAGGAGAAUGUUGGAAAUAGAUAGAUUUGUGAAAAAAAAUUGGGUUAUCUUAGAUGAAGGAAAUUUUGACUUUCGAGUAGAUAACAAAUGCGUGGAUAAUGUUGUGUUUCUAUGGUGUAUAUAACUUGGGUGACUAAGAUACUCGGAUAAUGUUGUUUUUAAAAGAAAUGUGAGCACCCAACUUUAUGAUGGAACCUGAACCAAAAUUCCAAACUAAAAAUUGAAAAAGAUUAGAUAUUGUUUUAUAAAUUGCAUGUAUAAGUUUCAACCUAUGAGACCGUUGUACGGAAGACAUGAACUAGAUACAGUCAUAAAACAAGCUUAUCAAAACACUGGCCUUGGUUUGGUUAAUCAACUCCCUCUCUCCCACUAAGGAACAAUAAUUCCUCUCUCCACUAUUGCUUGGCGUAUACUAUAUGCCUGAGAUUUGUGUACGCAGAUACAUUUUUAUUCGAAAAGACGGUGAUAAUUUGGAGAGACUCUGUAAUCCGUUUCAGUGGAAAUCGCCAGGGCAUGGAUGUCUUAGGGGCAAGGCGGUCACAUAUGGCCUCAAAUUUCAAGGGGUCAAAAUAAAAAAAGAUUCUUCUAAUAGUAGUUAAUGUGUAACAUAUAAUGAGUAAAGUGUUCUGUCUCACUUAUUUGCAUUACAGAUAAUUUGUAACACUUAUAAUUGUUAGCAAAUGGUUUGUAACAUCUAUAAAAGUUAUUUAAAAUCUUA